UCCCUGGUGGUUCAGUGGUUUGGAUUCUGGGCUUCCAUUGCAGGAGACAUGGGUUCGAUCCCUGGCCAGGGAA
rnacentral:tRNA from 1 species